rnacentral:rRNA from 1 species
UACGGGGGGGGCAAGCGUUGUUCGGAAUUACUGGGCGUAAAGGGCUCGUAGGUGGCCAACUAAGUCAUACGUGAAAUCCCUCGGCUUAACCGGGGAACUGCGUCUGAUACUGGAUGGCUUGAGGUUGGGAGAGGGAUGCGGAAUUCCAGGUGUAGCGGUGAAAUGCGUAGAUAUCUGGAGGAACACCGGUGGCGAAGGCGGCAUCCUGGACCAAUACUGACACUGAUGAGCGAAAGCCAGGGGAGCAAACGGG